rnacentral:rRNA from 1 species
GCCCUUAGAGUUUGAUUCUGGCUCAGGAUGAACGCUGGCGGCGUGCUUAACACAUGCAAGUCGAACGGGCUCAUAUUGAAACCUAGUGAUGUAUGAGUUAGUGGCGGACGGGUGAGUAACGCGUGGAGAACCUGCCGUAUACUGGGGGAUAACACUUAGAAAUAGGUGCUAAUACCGCAUAAGCGCACAGCUUCGCAUGAAGCAGUGUGAAAAACUCCGGUGGUAUACGAUGGAUCCGCGUCUGAUUAGCUGGUUGGCGGGGUAACAGCCCACCAAGGCGACGAUCAGUAGCCGGCCUGAGAGGGUGAACGGCCACAUUGGGACUGAGACACGGCCCAAACUCCUACGGGAGGCAGCAGUGGGGAAUAUUGCACAAUGGGGGAAACCCUGAUGCAGCGACGCCGCGUGAGUGAAGAAGUAUUUCGGUAUGUAAAGCUCUAUCAACANGGAAGAAAAUGACGGUACCUGACUAAAAAGCCCCGGCUAACUACGUGCCAGCAGCCGCGGUAAUACGUAAGGGGCAAGCGUUAUCCGGAU